UUUCCUUCCAUCCUUCCUUCCCUCUCUUUAUCUCUCUCUCUCUCUCUCUCUUUCUCUCUCUCUCUCUCUUUCAAUUGUAACUCUGUGAUCUGGAAACAGAGAUCCUUAUCCUUAGCACUGAAGGCAAGUUUCUGUCUCUUCCUCUGCAGCAUUAUGGGUAUAGAAACAAUGCCCUUUUUGUGGGAGUUCAUCAAGCAUAGGAAAAGGAUUCAGAUGAUGAUAGGAUAGAGAUGACAAGUACACACUAAUAAACGAAAAUAAAUAUACCACUGAAGAGAUUGAGGCCCAGAGAGAUAACGUGGAAUUUCUAUGAUCACUUAGCUGGUGGCUGGUGGCUACGAUCUGAAAACACGUUGUCUCUGGAGACCAUGCUGGAACCACUGCUAUGUUGAACGACCUCCCUGUGAAUAACAAAAGCCUUUUGAUUCAACUCAGCUUUCCUAGAUGAAUCAUGGUCCAUAUUUAGAAAUACGUGUCUUCUCAUCAUACUCAUGGAAAAACAGCCAGAUUAUAUAACAUUCCAUUAUUUUACUCCUCUAGGGGCUGGGGAGGGAGCAGAAAGCAAAGGGAAUGCAAUAGAACUCCUUCUCUUAACAAAUUUGCAAUAUAAGUGCAUUCCUGCUAGAUGAGUAUCCAAAAUAACUAAAAUGAAACAAGGUCUUUUCUUUUCGAGAAAUAGAAACAUUGCCUUCCAAAAUAUGUGUCAUGCAGAAAAAUACGAUAUUAAAAAUAAACAUAAGCCUUUGAUUCAA